rnacentral:rRNA from 1 species
GCUGGCGGCGUGCCUAACACAUGCAAGUCGAACGAGAAAGUGGAGCAAUCCAUGAGUACAGUGGCGUACGGGUGAGUAACACGUGACUAACCUACCCUCGAGUGGGGAAUAACUUCGGGAAACCGAGGCUAAUACCGCAUAACAUCUACGGAUCAAAUGCGCAAGCAGCUUGAGGAGGGGGUCGCGGCUGAUUAGCUAGUUGGCGGGGUAACGGCCCACCAAGGCAAUGAUCAGUAGCCGGCCUGAGAGGGCGCACGGCCACACUGGAACUGAAACACGGUCCAGACUCCUACGGGAGGCAGCAGUGGGGAAUUUUGCGCAAUGGGGGAAACCCUGACGCAGCAACGCCGCGUGGAGGAUGAAGCCCCUUGGGGUGUAAACUCCUUUCGAUCGGGACGAUUAUGACGGUACCGGAUGAAGAAGCACCGGCUAACUCUGUGCCAGCAGCCGCGGUAAUACAGAGGGUGCAAGCGUUGUUCGGAAUUAUUGGGCGUAAAGGGUGCGUANGCGGUGCGGUAAGUCUUCUGUGAAACCUCCGGGCUUAACUCGGAGCCUGCAGGGGAAACUGCCGUGCUGGAGUAUGGGAGAGGUGAGUGGAAUUCCCGGUGUA